CGGAGCUCCGUGAGCGCUCUUGCCUCCGGCUACCCAGACCAGCGACACUCUGCGGACCCGCCACUUCCGGGAGCGAGGCAGCCGUUCUAGCGCAGGCGCAGUGCCCUCCCAGACGGGCGUGUCACUGGCGUCACAGAGUUGGUUGAAUCUGCUGAUGCACAACCCACGCAAAGGAUCUGGACUUCUGGCUCCUGUAGUUCACACUAUCACGACAACAAAGCGAGACGGUUCCUGGAAGGGACUGAACUCAGCGUGUAGUACAUAACAAAGAAUAAAAGAGCUGUCUGAAGCUCUCUUGGAACUUGUCCUCCCCGGCCAGAACGCGAGCUCUAACGGGGCGGGGUGGAUGUAGCCCUCAGGACGGUCCCCGCACUCGGCAGGUCAGCAGAACGUCCCUGGUGAAGGAGUGGACGCGCCGACACGCGACCGGAAGGAAGCCUCUGGCCUGGAGGGGGGGAUGCACAGGGCGGCCCCGGCCCUCGGGACGGCGCGGGCGCCCACGGAACUACAUUUCCCAGGAAGCUCUGGGCGCAGAGGAGGCCGCGGGUACUGUCGGGACGGACACGCGCGCCAGGAGCCUCGUCCC